GUGGCGGGUGGCAGCGUUGGGUACGCCAGAGCGCCUGGUGCGUGUUGCGCGGGAGACGUACUCUCGGAUGCGCUCGGAGAUCGAAUCGAUUUUUGGGAGCGACCCACACAACAACAACAACAACAACACCAGCCACACAAACACCACAACCACACUGAUUCACGGGAAUUCGUUAUCUAACCGGCCUGAAGGGGGCGUUAGAUAACAGACCAAUACUCUAUUAUCACACAGCGUUACAGAACGAGGUGGCAAUUCGAUAGAGAGAAAGAGUGUAAGAGAAUUAAACACGAAAAGAGAGAGAGAGAGAGAGAGAGUAGUAAACUGCCAAAACCAUGUGCUACUUGUGUGUCACUCGCGGGCUCGUUCUCUUCGUAGGAACGGGGAUUUCAGAAUUGGGUCGUACAAACCGGGGCCACACAAGUCACACAAAAAAACCGAGCAAACGCAAAGCAGCACAAACGGUGUGUACGGAAAACGGUGCGGAACUAGUAUUUCCAGGCCGUUCCAAAGAACCACUAUAGCAAGAAACCGUCCGGUCUGGUGUCUGGUCACUGUUAAUGGGUGUAUAGUUCCUGUGCGACUAUCGGAGCGACACGAGCUGCCACAAGCGACGAGCGGCACCAGUCGGGUUGACAGCUGUUUCAGAGAUCGUAGAUCUAUGCGAGCGCGACGAAGGGCGGCGCAGUGAGACACAUUGGUGGGAAGGGGGAGUGCAGAGCGGCUAACGUUCAUAGAGCACGCGAUCGCUCUGCAAAGCUGCAAACGAUUGCGCGAUACGCGGUGUGCUGAAAAGCAAAGACGUGCGACAUCGCUAAUCAUACGCAGGCGGCAGCCAGCGAGUGCGCGGCCAUCUUCAGUGUGGAAGUUCCCCCCUUCCCUCUCCCACCGGUGUGUGUGUGUUUGUAAGGGUAGCUAGUAACAGGGGGGGUUGAGCCACACAACUAUGAUAAAGAUGGGACCAGCGCACGACAUACCAGUCACCUGACGGUACACCGGGGCGGCCGUUGUUUUUGGUUUGGCCGCGUGUUCGCCCGUGCGUUUGUUUGUGUGUGUGUGUGUGUCUAAAAACACAAACACAUCCGACCACCACCGACCGCAUGUGCAGUGUCAAUGUUGCGGUUGUGCCAAUGUGAGCUGCUCUCCAUAUCGCGCGCGCUGGAAAGUUGGCCAUUGGCACACUACCCACACACACAUACACACACUUGCCGUUUAUCUUUCACGACCGGUGCCAACUGUGAUGUGUGUGUGUGUGUGUGUGUGGUGGAGCUGUGAUGUGUAUUGGUUCUGUGCGUCUUACUACGUUGGUGGGGCCGGAUAGCCCUUGCUUACUGGGGUGGAAAGUGCGGAGUUGAGACAAAACAUGCCAUGCAAAAACCGCGCCUGUCAACGAUGAUCCGACGAUACUCGUGCCUUUCAGUGUGUCAGUUGUCCACUAACGUCGGACACAAUAGCAACAAAGAGAGUAAGAUAGAGGGAAGCAGAGGGAGUACGGCAAAUGGGUCAAGAUCAGCGCUCGCGCUUCCGCUGUUCCGCGGUGCUUGACAGAUAAUAAUCGAUCAAGUACGAUCAAAAUAUCAUUAGCCCCCAGCCCCCUGGGGGCCGGCUUUUGCGUGGGAAGACCGGGAAACGAAGGUUUGUGGGGUACCAUUUCCUCCCAAUUUUGGAAGUCAAAUUUUACGCCACGUGGUUUUUAUGCGUUCGGUGCGUACUGCAAUUACGUUCGUGUUGGAACCUCAACCAAAAUACUUUCGGUCAGAAUCAGCUUUUUAAAGAAGAGUUUACCUUAAAAUGUUUGUAAAUCGGUCGUUGCUGCUAAAUUUUGACUGUAACUUCCACAUACAAUUUUUAACAGUGUGUCCCAAUUUUUGUCUCUAAGUAAUCAAUUUUUCAAUGUAUGUCAAUUAUUCUGUUUAUAAUUCUAAAAUUAUUCAAUUUAAGUUAUGUAAUCAAACAUUUCAUUUCUUAAAUUAAAAUAUAACAAUUGAUAAGACAAUUUUUAAAGUUGUUAAUGAAGUUGGCAUGUAUUUUUAGAUGUAACCAAUCUGUUGAGGAUUUAUUAAAUUAGCUUAUUUCACACCAAAUAAAAAAAGAAACAGCCAAUGUACAUGGUUUUUGUAAUGUUUUUGUAAUUUCAAGUUACAGUUAUCAUAUAUUUGCUCAAUACUUAGCGAAUUUAUCAUGAUUUCUACAGGGAUCAUAACUUGUUGAUUUACAGACAAACAUAGUUGUGUUAGAGUCAAAAAUAGUUGUUUCAAAAAUCAAAACUUGAUGCCUUAGAGCCAAUAUUUAGCGACAACAACUGUGAGAAUAAUAACUCUUUCCACCAUACUGUUCCAUGGUCGUGUUUGGUUGCUGGGCAUAUGCAUACGCGCUUCACAGCCAGGUGCUAAUUUCGUGUGGUGUAAGAGUGACCUUACACUCUUUAUGGCGCCUGAAACCCCCCCCCCCCCCCCCCAUUCCCGUAAGUGGGUGAUGCUCUAGUUUGAAUGAAAGGCGCUUGCAACAAUUGUUUGAUUAAGUGAGGAAGAAAAUAAGCACAAAACAUAAUUGAAACGCUCAUUUCAACAUCAUGGUUUUCGCAAAACAAGUAUGAACUUUGGCUUCAUUCUUUAACGCUUCAAACGAUGGCACGGUGCCAAAAAUUAACUUCAGCUUUUCUUUAUCCAGAAUUAUACCAACCGGCAAAAGAAUGGCACACUGAGUACAUACCGGCUCUUCAUCCAGCUGCCUGACAGCUGUCACCAUACGAAGGAAGGUUCAUAGUGUGUGUGUGUGUGUGUGUGCGUUUGUGUCAAAAUUUAUGACUUCCUUUUUGCCGCACCGGCGCACCAGUGACAGGCAAGUCAACCUGAUCUUUUUACCAUUUCUUCCGCAGCUUGCGCACAACCGUGUGUGUUACGCGCACUCACCAAUGCCACGCGUAAACCUCGCCGCUGAAGCAAAAUUCCUGGAGCAGUCGCCAGGACACACUCACACACUCUGACAUUGACGCGUACCUUUUUCGCCUGGGUCGAUGGGCCUGCCCUGUGAGCAAGUGGGGAGCAAGUGGUGCUGCCAGAUUUGUACAGUAAAUACCAAACCCACGCAGUGCAUCUGGUUGUCGUUUUCGGAACAUAAUUUUCAUCCAAAAUAUCAUGAUAAUAAACAUUGUCGCCAUGGAGCCGGGCGGGAGAACGUCAUGCUACAGAAACGCUGGUCAAACAUGCUGUUGUAAAAGCUCACAUUCGGGACGUAUGUGCGAGCAGUUACUUGCUUCAAGUUCAUACCUCUUCGGCUCUGGAGCUGCAACGACCUGAUGAUGCCUGUUGCUGACAGUUAGUCGUAGUCCUCGGUGUGUGUUUGCCUUUCGAUUCUGAGAAUUUUGUUCCCCGCACAAGACCCGGAAAAGCACAAGCGUGAAAAAGGCGGUUCUAGUUUUCCACUUGACUUCUUGUCGUCCCCGUCCCAUCCCGUUUGCCACAGACUCACAGGCGUACAGAGCGUUGCGUUCGAGUGUUUGGGAAACGUUACUUUGACGGCACUGCGGAGCAUUUCGAUCUUCGUGCAUCUGGUUCUGUCUGUGGGUGGCAGGAUAGAUUAUUUCCUCACAAACACGCACACACACACACACACACACACACACACACACACACACACACACACACACACACACACACACACUCUCCAGUUCUCUUUAUCCCCCGCUCUUCAAACUCAAACAGUGACCGGAUUUAUUCAAAGUCAGUAAAACACAUUCUUUGCCGACCGGGGGAAAAGCUACCUUCCUCCCCAUCUACCGCGCACUGUCCGAGAACUGACCAAUCGGAAGCCCAUCGACGCGAGGGGACCAGGCUUCCGAAUGGUCUUCAACCCGUAAAACCAAACACUUUAUGGCGAAAUUGGUGAAUGUAGAGCAGUGAGUGAAGCACGGUGGAAGCAGCAGGUCCCAAUCCCCCUUUGGAUGGGAUGCACACAACCCAGGGGUUUGUGUGUGUGCUACCGUCCCCUUGCCAAAGUUCACUUAAUCGGGGACAACGAAUUACCAAUGGUAAUCGCUCUAAGUGCUGUUGGUCCGAAAGGUUGACUUUUUUUCUCUUCUUUCGGACUCUUCCUUUCGAACGCACGGAGAGUAGGUCAAAGUAGCGAGCGCCACCGAAACACCCUCCCCAUUUCGUAUUCCCCUAACAAAACGCAUCAAAGAACGCUCGAGGAACUAGGAACACGGACCGAGCACCUGAGUGAGGGGUUGGUGAUCGCUUGGUUUGAAUGGUUUCAAUUUUCACCUUAUCCGGUAUCUCGAGGGGUAAAUUUCCAGCAAGCAUUACAAGCUGCUGGCCCAUCCGCACGUGGGUAAUUUCCCUUGAACGGUGCGUUACGUGUCAUAUGUGUGUGUGUGUGUGUUAUAGAUACAGCAUGGCCAUCGUAUGCUUUCACCACAGCUGUAAAAAGAACACACAAAAACACACGAACACACGGCGUAGUUGCACCGUCGUAGUGUGUGAAUGGCAGAGUGUUUACAUUCCCUGUCACGUGUAGUGUGCGACAUUGAGACCAACCGUGCACCAUGCAACGGAAGGGCGGUGCAGGGGGGAGUGGGUGCUGGGGCACAGGUACGAGGUCUCAUUAGAGACAGCGCGCGGGAAGCGCUAUGACGCAACGACGACAACGACGACGAUGGAGCGCAAUGAAGUGCGAUGCCAUAUCGCGCACUGGGCCAUGGUGUGUGGUUUCGAGGUUUCUCGAGCAUAUGACACUCGUAUGCCGAGUGUAUGCGUGUGUGUGGGUGUGUGUGGGAAAGGGUGUGAGAACUGCAGAGGGUUUGCUAUGGAAGGUAACGUAGUGUCGGAAGAGAAUUUAUUUUCUCCACUUCCAAUUCUAAAUUACGUAGCACCGUGUAGCACUAGCUGCUACCAGUUGCAGCGGGAAAAGGUGUUUUGCACCAGCCAUCAUCACCCUUCCCCAUCCCUUCCCCGACAAGGUAACGACAUGAACGACGACGACGACGACGGCAAAACCCAUCAUCAUAGCGAUAGUGCAGCAUUGCAAAUGCAGGCGAGACACCGGUAGCCGACGACGAUAACGAAUGUAUGCAAACGAGGUGGUGCAUCCACUGUGCGGAAACGUAGGGCAGAGCAAAGCAACGCACGAUGACGAUGGUUGCGCCGAGCGCGGUAGCGGCUGGGUGACAAGCUGAAUGGUUCGGCGAGUUUGCGAAUGAAAUGAAUUGAAAGUAAUUUGCCAAACCCGUCGCCAGCGUCGUACCGUUCGUUGAAGAAGACGGUACCGAUUACGGGAAUGGACAAGCCGAUGGGCUUAUGCAAAAGGUUACGAGUCAUACGCAUACACACAUGCACACAUAUGUGGGAGUACAGAGAGAGAGAGAGAGAGGGAGAACUGUACGGCAGAAUCAACACCCAUCAGCAGUGAUAGAAAAGUGGGACAGCGGAUGCCCUCCGGCUGUGAGUGAUCGCUUCGCAUUUUCAUAAGUACAAGUACAGUGCGGCAAUACAGUGCUGUUCUAUGCGCGAAAUGUUGCUGGUAUUGAUGUCAAGUAAAGCGGGGAUAUUAAAAUUCUCUCACCAAGUCCCCCAUACAGCCUGCCGGCCGUUUUCAUUAUGAAAUUCUUAUUAAAAACUUGCCGCCACGUGUCGCUGCUUAUCUUUCGCUAAAUGGCGCAAACUUUACGCCGGGCCGGGCGCCGAAUUCAGCGUCGAAGCGCUUCGACAGCUAACGACUUUGUAGCCUGUGUCUGUGUAACACAUUCUCCACAUUUUUGCCAUUUGAGUUCGGGGAGAAGGGGGAGGCGCAAAGCGCACCAAAGAUCGAAUGCUGCCCAAAAUAUGCCAAACAUUUCGCUCAUUAUCUUUGGCCCCGGCGUGGGCGUGGGCGCCGUUGAUAAAGUGAUAUGAGCCCGAUGCUUUAGGAGAUGGGGCAGGGGAGUAAGAGAAAGACAUCUUUAUAAACUCGACACCAUUCGCUAAACGGCUGAACGCCACCGGACCACUCUUGCACCCUCCGCUACAACCACUUUUCGGCACGGAGCACGGAAAAUCUUUCGACAGCAUUAACCCUACCACAAGGAAACCAGCGGAACAGGAAACGGCGCGGAAACGAAAGAAAUUCAAUUACAAAACAUGCUCGUUUCAUGAUGUGACACUUCUUGCUUUUCCCCCCGUUCUUCCAGAAGGUUCAAUCGCGUUGCGAAUGCGCGUCAUCCGCGAUGGGCGCGGAAACUUUUACGCACGCAAUUCGGCGAUUCGCGUUGACGCCUCCAACUACCUUUCGGCUCGUCUGCGAGCAGCUCGUCCUCGACAGUUGCUGGAAAAGGGGUAGUAUUUUAACUUAUAAUUUUUCACGUCCCAGCAAUAGCUGCUACAUUGACAGUGUGUGCCCUUUGCCAUGGUGCGGUUUGUUCUUUCCUGCUAGCGAAGCCCUUCGAUCUUCUGCUCGGCAUUACCGUCGGGGCGCACGCACGCACGCCAUUCUCAAACGUGACCGUUUGUAGGCUAAGAAGAAGAACAAAAAAAAAACAUCCUCCCAAGUGCCCGAGUAGUUUUAUUUGACGUCCCUCGACAUUGAUGGGUACCGGAAGCAAACCACAGGCAGAGGCAACAACGGUACCGGAACAUAGAACGCGCGAUAAAAGAACAUGGUUUAAACUUUCCCUGUGGGUGCCGUUGUUUUUU